rnacentral:Y_RNA from 1 species
GGCUGGUCCGAUGGCAGUGGGUUAUCAGAACUUAUUAACAUUAGUGUCACUAAAGUUGGUAUACAACCCCCCCACCGCUAAAUUUGACUAGAAAA